rnacentral:tRNA from 1 species
GCUUAAAUAGCUUAUAUUUUAGAGCAUGGCACUGAAGAUGCCAAGGAGGCAAAAUUUAAGGA